AAUAUGAGACUGAGCUCAAUGAAAGCUAAAAAUUCUGUGAUGGCAGUGCUGAGGAAACAUUGAUGUGAUAAAAGGAAAGGGAGAGAACAAUGAGGACAACACCAGGAUAUGACUACAAUGUCACCCAAGGCUUAAUUCCUAAAAUAUAGGACUGUGGUGCUUUAUCGAUCCAGCUUUCGGACCAGAGUAAGGCACUCAUGACUGUGACAGAUACUGCCUGAUUAUCACAUUGAAGACUGAUUUUUGAAGGACCUUUCUACCUAAACAGAAAUGUAUGAAUGUCAGCAUCACUGUUUCAAACACUCAGCACCCUACCAUCAAAGUGGAUAUGGUCUUCAAAGACAAAAGGAAUGGAUGUGAUUUUCAGAGACAAAAUGAGCCCCCAAAAGAAGUCACUCUUGUUUAACUGGGAUAAUUUUUUUCACAUGUAUCAUUGUUUUACACAUACAUAUUUUUAAGUAGAAGUAACAGUUAUUCAACAUAUUUUUUUUUCUUUUAAUUUGAAUACAUGUAGAGGCAAAUGAUAAACUUAUCACAUCAGAGUUUCAUUGUGUUGUUAUAUUUAUGUAUGAUACUAUCAAUCAAAACAAGUUUGAUACCGGAAAUCCAGGAAAAACACCCUAAAUGUGUAUUUAUUUUGCAAUGUUUUUCAUAAGUAUUAUACAAGUCCAUCAUACCUUUGCUGCCAUACAGGGAUUAUGUAUUUUACUUUUAAAUGUCAUGAAGAUUCACCUUGAGAUAAAUUUCUGUUCUUUACUGAAUCAAAUUGAAUGUGGAAAAAAUACAAAGAUACAGAAAAACCCCUCACCUUCUUUUAGUUGUGGACAAUGUUGACAUGAGCAAAUUUGUGCUGCCCCCCCCCCCCCCCUUUUACAUUGAGUUAAAUUGAUUGUACUGUAUUACUUUUAAUUACAAUAAGCCUUAACUAUUUUUUUUUAUAAUUAC